rnacentral:lncRNA from 1 species
UUGUAGAGAGGGGAAGAAUGGGGACGGCCCAGAGGUCUGACCUAUUUAUACCCCAGCCAGGCCCUGCCCAUAGCAGGGGACAGGGGAGAGCGGAUACUGCCUUCCUGCUGUGGGCUGAUGCGGGCCCUGCGUAUUCCUGGAAGGUGCACACGAUGGCAGCUACCGCCUGCUCCAGAGGCCUGGCCAUCCUCACUGUCACAGAACAAGGGUGUGGCUCACAGCAGAGUUCCAGGCCAGCCCCCCAGCUCACCUCUGCCCUCUGUGUUUCUCAGAGACUGUUCCCAGACCCAUCUUAACCUCCAUCAGGCUUCAGGCCCCGCAGUCUCCCCCUCCUCUGAGUAGCCCUCCCAGACCACACCAGCCCCUCCUAAUUUAUCCCCCUGCUGUCCUGUUGUUAUUUCCCCAUGUAGAGGUCUCAUUGCCCCAACAUCGCUGUAAACUCCUCAGAGAGACAGCAUCCUACCCCACCACCCACACACCCCACCGUGGGGCUCCUUAAGCACUCUCAGAUUAUCUGCCACCUCUUCUUAUCCCCAACACCCAGGGAUGGCUCGGUCCCAGUCUGCCCCAGCCCAUGAGAUGCCCUAGAAGCCUCCCUCCCUGCAGGAACUUGCACAAGGAGAGCCUGGCCCUGUGCUUCUCUGCCCUCAGCCCUUGGAGAAGCUAGGCCUUAGCAGGGAGGGGCAGGUCUGAGAGGCGCCCCCACAGCCUCACCACCACUGCCCUCACCCUGCCUCCUGCCCUGAACUCGAGGAAGCUGCACCCAGAAGAAAAACUUGUGGGAUCCUCUCUGCCUGUCGCCAGCUGUGCAACCUUGGAAGAGAACCCAAAACCUAGAAGAGCGUGAGAGGGAAAAGAGGAAGGAGAUUGACUCCCAGGCCGGCAAAGAAGCCUUCCUGCCCGUGCAGGCAGCCAGAGCGCCAGUGACACCUUCGACCUCGCCCUCGGCCCCCAGCACCCAAGCCUUGCCUGUGCCGUCCUCUCCUUGGAGACUCAGCCCUGUUGAGGAGGGGAGUGAGCAAUAGAGGAGGGAAGGAAAAGAGGAGCUGUGAUUAGCCCUGUUUUAUAAUGGGCUACAUAGCCCUGUUUUAUAUGGGCUUUUUAAUGGAAGUAUGGGGAGCAGGGGGCAGAGAACAAGAGACAGUCACGCAGCAGAAGGGGGGGCCAGAGUGCACCAGCAAUUAAUUCAGCUCUAGGUCGAGCUUAAUUAUUCCCACCUAUGAUAUCCCAGCUCUGCCCCCAGCCACCUCCCUUAAGCAGCCUACCUCUGCUCUCGGGGCUUCAUUUUACUCACCUGUCAGUGAUGGAGGGUGAUAAUAGUAACUACCUCAUAGGUUUGUGCGGGGUUUAAAUAAGCUAAUACAUAUAAAGUUCAUAGAGUAAAUAGUGCCCAGCACAUGGCAAGGGCUUGAUAAAUGUUAAUCAAGAGAUGGGUGAGGCCGGGCGCAGUGGCUCACGCCUAUAAUACCAGCAAUUUGGGAGGCCAAGGCGAGCAGAUCACCUGAGGUCAGGAGUUCGAGACCAGCCUGGCAACAUGGUGAAACCCCAUCUCUACUAAAAAUACAAAAAUUAGCUGGGCAUAUUGGCACGUACCUGUAAUCCCAGCUACUCGGGAGGCUGAGGCAGGAGAAUCGCUUGAACCCAGGAGACGAAGGUUGCAGUGAGCUGAGAUCGUGCCACUGCACUCCAGCCUGGGCAACAGAGCAAGACACUGUCUCAAAAAAAAAAAAAGAGAGAGAGAGAUGGGUAACUUGCCCAGGGUCACGUAAUAGUGAGUGGCAGGCCUAGCAGGCAUUCAUUUUUCGUAUAAAUAUUUAGACGCAUUGGGGGUAUAGCCAUAAACAAAACAAAAGUCCCUGCUCUGUGGAGAUGACAGUCUCUUGGGGAAAACAGACAAUAACAAAAUAGGUGCUUAACAGAUUGCUGAUAUAAAUGCUAUGAAGAAAAAUAAAGCAGAGCUGGGAGA